AUUCCUGCCUAAUCAAGGCCUACAGCAGUAAUGGGCUUUCUCACAUCUGCUACCCAUAUCUGGACUAUUUGAGCCCCCAGACAGCUUCAAAAGUUAUAACGGUUGAACUCCACAGAUGAGAAAAUAGAAAGUGAAAAGAGAAGAGAGAACAAGUCAAAACAAUCAAUUCAAAGCAAGCUGCUUUUGAAAAGAUCAACAUUAAAUGUCUUCAGAAGACUUCAUCUCAAAGUUUUGACACAGGCAAACUCUAAAAUCCCGGAAUAUACAGCAGAAAAGAAGUCAGCAGCCUUUGUCAACAAGCAGCACAUAAAUGGGAAUUAUUUCAGUGGCAUCAAAAUUUUAACCUCUGUGACUGUGCCUUUCUAGGGAUAAUUUGAGUUGCUCACGGACCGGCACUUUUUUGUGUGCUCAUGCAAGGCCUCCUGUUCUUCCAGUUUCCCUUAUCAUGUCGGCUGCCACCAACCUUUCUGAUUGUAUCCUGAAGGAAUUUCUCAAUGC
ensembl:lncRNA